CGGUACAUCGGUGACAGGUGGUGCAUGGGUUGUCGUCAGCUCGUGUCGUGAGAUGUUGGGUUAAGUCCCGCAACGAGCGCAACCCUAUUGUUAGUUGCCAUCAUUCAGUUGGGCACUCUAGCGAGACUGCCGGUAAUAAACCGGAGGAAGGUGGGAUGACGUCAAAUCAUCAUGCCCCUUAUGACCUGGCUACACACGUGCUACAAUGGUUGGUACAACGAGUUGCGAGUCGGUGACGGCGAGCUAAUCUCUUAAAGCCAAUCUCAGUUCGGAUUGUAGGCUGCAACUCGCCUACAUGAAGUCGGAAUCGCUAGUAAUCGCAGGUCAGCAUACUGCGGUGAAUACGUUCCCGGGCCUU
rnacentral:rRNA from 1 species